rnacentral:rRNA from 1 species
UAGGGAAUCUUCCACAAUGGGCGGAAAGCCUGAUGGAGCAACGCCGCGUGUGUGAUGAAGGGUUUCGGCUCGUAAAACACUGUUGUAAGAGAAGAAUGACAUUGAGAGUAACUGUUCAAUGUGUGACGGUAUCUUACCAGAAAGGAACGGCUAAAUACGUGCAG